UACGUAGGGGGCAAGCGUUGUCCGGAUUUAUUGGGCGUAAAGAGCGUGUAGGCGGCCAGACAGGUCCGUUGUGAAAACUCGAGGCUCAACCUCGAGACGCCGAUGGAAACCGUCUGGCUAGAGUCCGGAAGAGGAGAGUGGAAUUCCUGGUGUAGCGGUGAAAUGCGCAGAUAUCAGGAAGAACACCCAUGGCUAAGGCGGCUCUCUAGUACGGUACUGACGCUGAGACGCGAAAGCGUGGGAGCGAACAGG
rnacentral:rRNA from 1 species